AGUGAACGCUGGCGGUAGGCCUAACACAUGCAAGUCGAACGGCAGCACAGUAAGAGCUUGCUCUUACGGGUGGCGAGUGGCGGACGGGUGAGGAAUACAUCGGAAUCUACUUUUUCGUGGGGGAUAACGUAGGGAAACUUACGCUAAUACCGCAUACGACCUACGGGUGAAAGCAGUGGAUCUUCUGACCUUGCGCGAUUGAAUGAGCCGAUGUCGGAUUAGCUAGUUGGCGGGGUAAAGGCCCACCAAGGCGACGAUCCGUAGCUGGUCUGAGAGGAUGAUCAGCCACACUGGAACUGAGACACGGUCCAGACUCCUACGGGAGGCAGCAGUGGGGAAUAUUGGACAAUGGGCGCAAGCCUGACCCAGCCAUACCGCGUGGGUGAAGAAGGCCUUCGGGUUGUAAAGCCCUUUUGUUGGGAAAGAACAGCAGUAGGUUAAUACCCAGCUGUUCUGACGGUACCCAAAGAAUAAGCACCGGCUAACUUCGUG
rnacentral:rRNA from 1 species